GAUGAACGCUGGCGGCGUGCCUAAUACAUGCAAGUCGAGCGAACGGACGAGAAGCUUGCUUCUCUGAUGUUAGCGGCGGACGGGUGAGUAACACGUGGAUAACCUCCCUAUAAGACUGGGAUAACUUCGGGACACCGGAGCUAAUACCGGAUGAUAUUUUGAACCGCAUGGUUCAAAAGUAAAAGUCGGUCUUGCUGUAACUUAUAGAUGGAUCCGCGCUGCAUUAGCUAGUUGGUAAGGUAACGGCUUACCAAGGCAACGAUGCAUAGCCGACCUGAGAGGGUGAUCGGCCACACUGGAACUGAGACACGGUCCAGACUACUACGGGAGGCAGCAGUAGGGAAUCUUCCGCAAUGGUCGAAAGCCUGACGGAGCAACGCCGCGUGAGUGAUGAAGGUCUUCGGAUCGUAAAACUCUGUUAUUAGGGAAGAACAUAUGUGUAAGUAACUGUGCACAUCUUGACGGUACCUAAUCAGAAAGCCACGGCUAACUACGUG
rnacentral:rRNA from 1 species